rnacentral:misc_RNA from 1 species
UCCGGUUUGGCACCGGCAGUCUCCCUAGAGUUCCCGGCAUCACCCGCUGGCAACUAAGGACAGGGGUUGCGCUCGUUGCGCCACUUAAGGCAACAUCUCACGACACGAGCUGAGGACAGCCAUGCACCACCUGUCACCGCCCCCGAAGGACCCCCCAUCUCUGAAGGAUUAGCGAUGAUGUCAAACCCAGGUAAGGUUCUUCGCGUUGCAUCGAAUUAAUCCGCAUGCUCCGCCGCUUGUGCGGGCCCCCGUCAAUUCCUUUGAGUUUUAGCCUUGCGGCCGUACUCCCCAGGCGGCGGACUUAAUGCGUUAGCUUCGGCACGGACGGGGUCGAUAUCCGCCCACACCUAGCACCCAACGUUUACGGCUAGGACUAC